rnacentral:rRNA from 1 species
AGUCGAACGAUGAAGCUUUUAGCUUGCUAGAAGUGGAUUAGUGGCGCACGGGUGAGUAAGGUAUAGUUAAUCUGCCCUACACAAGAGGACAACAGUUGGAAACGACUGCUAAUACUCUAUACUCCUGCUUAACACAAGUUGAGUAGGGAAAGUUUUUCGGUGUAGGAUGAGACUAUAUAGUAUCAGCUAGUUGGUAAGGUAAUGGCUUACCAAGGCUAUGACGCUUAACUGGUCUGAGAGGAUGAUCAGUCACACUGGAACUGAGACACGGUCCAGACUCCUACGGGAGGCAGCAGUAGGGAAUAUUGCGCAAUGGGGGAAACCCUGACGCAGCAACGCCGCGUGGAGGAUGACACUUUUCGGAGCGUAAACUCCUUUUCUUAGGGAAGAAUUCUGACGGUACCUAAGGAAUAAGCACCGGCUAACUCCGUGCCAGCAGCCGCGGUAAUACGGAGGGUGCAAGCGUUACUCGGAAUCACUGGGCGUAAAGGGCGCGUAGGCGGAUUAUCAAGUCUCUUGUGAAAUCUAAUGGCUUAACCAUUAAACUGCUUGGGAAACUGAUAGUCUAGAGUGAGGGAGAGGUAGAUGGAAUUGGUGGUGUAGGGGUAAAAUCCGUAGAUAUCNNNAAGAAUACCCAUUGCGAAGGCGAUCUGCUGGAACUCAACUGACGCUAAGGCGCGAAAGCGUGGGGAGCAAACAGGAUUAGAUACCCUGGUAGUCCACGCCCUAAACGAUGUACACUAGUUGUUGGGAUGCUAGUCAUCUCAGUAAUGCAGCUAACGCAUUAAGUGUACCGCCUGGGGAGUACGGUCGCAAGAUUAAAACUCAAAGGAAUAGACGGGGACCCGCACAAGCGGUGGAGCAUGUGGUUUAAUUCGAAGAUACGCGAAGAACCUUACCUGGGCUUGAUAUCCUAAGAACCUUAUAGAGAUAUGAGGGUGCUAGCUUGCUAGAACUUAGAGACAGGUGCUGCACGGCUGUCGUCAGCUCGUGUCGUGAGAUGUUGGGUUAAGUCCCGCAACGAGCGCAACCCACGUAUUUAGUUGCUAACGGUUCGGCCGAGCACUCUAAAUAGACUGCCUUCGUAAGGAGGAGGAAGGUGUGGACGACGUCAAGUCAUCAUGGCCCUUAUGCCCAGGGCGACACACGUGCUACAAUGGCAUAUACAAUGAGACGCAAUACCGCGAGGUGGAGCAAAUCUAUAAAAUAUGUCCCAGUUCGGAUUGUUCUCUGCAACUCGAGAGCAUGAAGCCGGAAUCGCUAGUAAUCGUAGAUCAGCCAUGCUACGGUGAAUACGUUCCCGGGUCUUGUACUCACCGCCCGUCACACCAUGGGAGUUGAUUUCACUCGAAGCCGGAAUACUAA